rnacentral:tRNA from 1 species
GACCAGCUUGGUGCAAUGGCUUGCAUGUUGGAUUAGGACUCCAGGAGACCAGGGUUCGAAUCCCUACUUGGCCA